AGGUAGCCUAGUGGUUAGAGCAGGUAGCCUAGUGGUUAGAGCAGGUAGCCUAGUGGUUAGAGCAGGUAGCCUAGUGGUUAGAGCAGGUAGCCUAGUGGUUAGAGGCAGGUAGCCUAGUGGUUAGAGCAGGUAGCCUAGUGGUUAGAGCAGGUAGCCUAGUGGUUAGAGCAGGUAGCCUAGUGGUUAGAGCAGGUAGCCUGGUGGUUAGAGCAGGUAGCCUAGUGGUUAGAGCAGGUAGCCUAGUGGUUAGAGCAGGUAGCCUAGUGGUUAGAGCAGGUAGCCUAGUGGUUAGAGCAGGUAGACUAGUGGUUAGAGCAGGUAGCCUAGUGGUUAGAGCAGG
ensembl:lncRNA